CAGCACCAGUUUGGCUCCACCUCUGAUUUUGCUUAGCUCCGCCCCACUUUUCCUCCGUGCGGCCAGUUUAUCAGCUGUUUGCUUGUGUGAGCUGUACUGGCCGCACGGCACCCUAACUACCAUGGGGCACUGUGCAGCCACAGCUCACACAGCCCCCUCCAGCCAGGGCCGGUGCAAGGAUUUUUGCCGCCCUAGGCAAAAGUAAAGUUUGCCGCCCCCCCAUGUGACAUCACAAUGCCCCACCCAUAUGAUUUG